AGAGGUGGUCGAGUGGCUUAAGGCACUCCCCUGCUAAGGGAGUAUUCGUUUUGCGAAUCGCGGGUUCGAAUCCCGCCCUCUC
rnacentral:tRNA from 1 species